AUGGUGUUGAAGAAGAGUCUUGAUUAUGGAUUCAAUGGCUACCGGGUCCCCAUUAUACCUAGAGGUCCCAGAUCUGAAAGCGUUGAGGAUAGCCAAAUCUGUGCAUUUGAACUACUGGCAGCUGUUGCUGGCAAGUUGUUGCAGGAGAGUGAGAGUUCUACUUCUAGUAAUGCUGAAGGAAAAGACCCAUCUGGAAUUCACGGGUGUGGAGUUAAACAUGAACAACUGGAAGCUAGUAAUGCUUUGAGAUCAGGGUGCAAUGAUCAGGGAAGCUGCAUAGAGAGUUCUUUGGCUCUGGACUUGCAGCUCAAAAUCACAAUUCAAAGUCCACUUUGAGAGAACUCCCUCAUGCUGUGUGUGAUACUGUUUUGGAAAGCACUUCGAUUAUUUCAAGUUCCAACUUUCCAAGAAAGUUGGUCAUGAUGUGAAAUUGGAAAUCUCUGAAAACAAGAUAGCAGUUGAAAAAUUCCAUGGCAAAGUAGAGGGGGGCUCCCCUAAUUGUGGGGAAUCAUGUGAUGGUUACGUACAUAAUGGAACUGAAAGACAGCUAGAGGUUGAAGGAAUCAUAAUCAUAAUGCAGAUUUGACCGCAGCUAAUACCUUCAGUUCAAAGGAUCCAAUGGAAAUAUGUGUGAAUACCCAUCCAUUUAUUAAUUCUGACAGUAGUGUACAGUUGACCUCAUAUAGGGAUUCUGUUCCAAUGCUUCUUUUCCGCAGCAUAGGAUCAAUGUAAAGGUAGGUAGUGAAGAUGAUGACGAAAAUUUCUGUUCGGUACAAUCGGCCUAGCUCCAAGAUGAGGGCCUUUAGGCCACAUCAACGUAUUGGGCACCGAAGAAUAAGAAAGUUACUGACUUCCAAAUACUGGAAAGUAGCUCCAAAGUUGAAGGAUUGUGAAUUUUCUAACUCCACAAGUGGUGGGUUCCAUCUUCAGUUUUUAGCGUCGUCAGCAAUCAUGUCACUCGAGGGAUUCCCACGUGGAAGUUUAGCAUCAAGAUCCUUCAAGGUACCAGGCUUUAUGUUGAUGGUCCAGAAACUGCCAACUAUUGGUUCACUGAAGAGGACCGUUAUGGAGGCCGUGACUGCUAUACUUCAAGGCGGAUUACACGUAGGUGUACUUCUUCAAGGGAAAAAGGUUAAAGAUGAUAACAGAACUCUAUUGCAAACUGGUAUUUCUCACAAUGACAACCUGGAUGCUCUUGGUUUUACAUUGGAACCAAGUUCUGUGAUGGCGUCUCCACCUGUGUGCCCCAAAGAUCCUCCAAUUUUGCUGCCAUGUGAGACACACCAACAGUUAACCAGGUUGCCAGCCAGUCCCAUUUUGGAUUCAGGGUUCUCUAAUGAAUCAUGUGAUCCUCUUCCAGUGGCCAAUGUGGACAACCAUGUUGAAAGUAAAAAUGAAUUGGUCCCUUCCCCUACUGAUGUAGUAACAGAUGGAACGACACCUGAUUCCAGAGCCUUGGUUCCCGUACCAGCAAUGAGCGUGGAAGCACUUGCUGUGUUUCCCAUGAACCAGAAAACUAGGCGGUCUGAACUUGUGCAGCGUAGAACUAGGAGACCUUUCUCUGUGUCAGAAGUAGAAGCACUAGUUGAAGCAGUUGAGAAUCUCGGAACUGGAAGGUGGCGUGAUGUUAAAUUGCGUGCUUUUGAGAAUGCAGAUCAUCGAACUUAUGUGGACUUGAAGGAUAAGUGGAAGACAUUGGUUCACACGGCAAGCAUCGCCCCCCAGCAAAGAAGAGGCGAGCCCGUGCCGCAGGAGCUCUUGGACCGAGUCUUGGCUGCCCAUUCUUACUGGUCUCAGCACCAAUCUAAGCAACAUGGCAAGCUUCAAACUGAAACCCUCUAAAGAUUUCAGACUGCUCAGGAGGGAAGCCUUUCAAAGAGGUACCCAAAUGGUUACAGUGUAAAUUAGUUGUGACAGUGAAAUUGAAAAAAUGAAGUGUAAAAAAUUAAUAUGGUCUCAUGUAAUAUUAUGCUUACUUCACAAUGAUUCAUUGCCAGGUGCUGGCUUGUAAAUGAUUUGACAAAAUAAAGGGUAUUCUAACAGAAUCCAUAGCGGUCACUUUGAUUUGAUAGA